AUUGAACGCUGGCGGCAGGCCUAACACAUGCGAGUCGAGCGGAUGAAGGGAGCUUGCUCCUGGAUUCAGCGGCGAACGGGUGAGUAAUGCCUAGGAAUCUGCCUGGUAGUGGGGGAUAACGUCCGGAAACGGGCGCUAAUACCGCAUACGUCCUGAGGGAGAAAGUGGGGGAUCUUCGGACCUCACGCUAUCAGAUGAGCCUAGGUCGGAUUAGCUAGUUGGUGGGGUAAAGGCCUACCAAGGCGACGAUCCGUAACUGGUCUGAGAGGACGAUCAGUCACACUGGAACUGAGACACGGUCCAGACUCCUACGGGAGGCAGCAGUGGGGAAUAUUGGACAAUGGGCGAAAGCCUGAUCCAGCCAUGCCGCGUGUGUGAAGAAGGUCUUCGGAUUGUAAAGCACUUUAAGUUGGGAGGAAGGGCAGUAAGUUAAUACCUUGCUGUUUUGACGUUACCAACAGAAUAAGCACCGGCUAACUUCGUG
rnacentral:rRNA from 1 species